AGAGGGUGCAAACGUUGCUCGGAAUUACUGGGCGUAAAGCGCGUGUAGGCGGACGUGUAAGUCAGGUGUGAAAUCCCCGGGCUCAACCCGGGAACUGCACUUGAAACUGCGCGUCUUGAGUACUGGAGAGGGUAGUGGAAUUCCUGGUGUAGAGGUGAAAUUCGUAGAUAUCAGGAGGAACACCGGUGGCGAAGGCGGCUACCUGGACAGUCACUGACGCUGAGACGCGAAAGCGUGGGGAGCAAACAGGAUUAGAUACCCUGGUAGUCCACGCUGUAAACGAUGGGUGCUAGGUGUCGCGGGUUUUGACCCCUGCGGUGCYKUARMWRACGCGUUAAGCACCCCGCCUGGGGAGUACGGCC
rnacentral:rRNA from 1 species